UACGAAGGGGGCUAGCGUUGCUCGGAAUGACUGGGCGUAAAGGGCGCGUAGGCGGAUGGUACAGUCAGAUGUGAAAUUCCCGGGCUUAACCUGAGGGCUGCAUUUGAUACGUGCGAUCUGGAGUGAGGAAGAGGGUCGUGGAAUUCCCAGUGUAGAGGUGAAAUUCGUAGAUAUUGGGAAGAACACCGGUGGCGAAGGCGGCUCACUGGCUCGUAACUGACGCUCAUGCACGACAGCGUGGGAUCAAACAGG
rnacentral:rRNA from 1 species